rnacentral:rRNA from 1 species
AACGAACGCUGGCGGCGUGGAUAAGACAUGCAAGUCGAACGAGACAAAGUUUGUAGCAAUACAAAUUUUGUUUAGUGGCGCACGGGUGCGUAACACGUGAGCAAUCUGCCGGGAAGUGGGGGAUAGCUCGCCGAAAGGCGAAUUAAUACCGCAUGUGACCAGGAGGAUCAUUUCUCCGAAGCCAAAGUAGCAAUACGCUUCCUGAUGAGCUCGCGGCCUAUCAGCUAGAUGGCGGGGUAACGGCCCACCAUGGCUAUGACGGGUAGCUGGUCUGAGAGGACGACCAGCCACACUGGAACUGAGACACGGUCCAGACACCUACGGGUGGCAGCAGUCGAGAAUUUUUCACAAUGGGGGAAACCCUGAUGGAGCGACGCCGCGUGGAGGACGAAGGCCUUCGGGUUGUAAACUCCUGUCAUGCGGGAACAAGAAAGUGAUAGUACCGCAAGAGGAAGAGACGGCUAACUCUGUGCCAGCCGCCGCGGUAAGAC